rnacentral:rRNA from 1 species
UAGGGAAUCUUCCACAAUGGGCGAAAGCCUGAUGGAGCAACGCCGCGUGUGUGAUGAAGGCUUUCGGGUCGUAAAGCACGGUUGUAUGGGAAGAACAGCUAGAAUAGGAAAUGAUUUUAGUUUGACGGUACCAUACCAGAAAGGGACGGCUAAAUACGUGCCAG